rnacentral:snRNA from 1 species
AGCUUUGCGCAGUGGCAAUACCAUAGCCAGUGAGGUGUAUCCGAGGCGUGGUUAUUGCUAGUUGAAAACUAUUCCCAAUACCCCGUGCAGACGCCUUAACUGGGCGGCUAGCACAAUUUUUAAUUGCCUCUACGGGGG